rnacentral:rRNA from 1 species
GAUGAACGCUAGCGACAGGCUUAACACAUGCAAGUCGAGGGGCAGCACAGGUAGCAAUACCGGGUGGCGACCGGCGCACGGGUGAGUAACGCGUAUGCAACUUACCUAUCAGAGGGGGAUAACCCGUCGAAAGUCGGACUAAUACCGCAUGAAGCAGGGGUCCCGCAUGGGGAUAUUUGCUAAAGAUUCAUCGCUGAUAGAUAGGCAUGCGUUCCAUUAGGCAGUUGGCGGGGUAACGGCCCACCAAACCGACGAUGGAUAGGGGUUCUGAGAGGAAGGUCCCCCACAUUGGUACUGAGACACGGACCAAACACCUACGGGAGGCAGCAGUGAGGAAUAUUGGUCAAUGGACGAGAGGCUGAACCAGCCAAGUCGCGUGAGGGAUGAAGGUUCUAUGGAUCGUAAACCUCUUUUAUAAGGGAAUAAAGUGCGGGACGUGUCCCGUUUUGUAUGUCCCUUAUGAAUAAGGAUCGGCUAACUCCGUG